rnacentral:rRNA from 1 species
GUCUAUGGUCAUACCACCCUGCUGAACGUCCCGAUCUCAGAAGCUAAGCAGGGCUGGGCCUGGUGAGUACUUGGAGGGAGAAAUCUCUGUAUGAAGUGGCAGAGGCAGAGACCAGAGGCAUCAGAGGCU